GUGAAUCAUCAAAUUUUUGAACGCAAAUUGCACUCUCGGCGAAGAGUAGGCCUGUUUGAGGGUCAGACUAAAAAAAAUCGACAUAAUCGCUGUUUCGCGGUGACAUUCGUCGGAAGGUGGGUGAUCUUGAAUCUUUGGGUUUUUUAAGCUGCUUGAAAUUUUCGUUACGAUUAGACGAACGUUUUUAAGAUGUUAGUUCUUACACGCUUUUAAGAUAUCGAUUUUUAUUAU
rnacentral:misc_RNA from 1 species